GACGAACGCUGGCGGCGUGCUUAACACAUGCAAGUCGAACGGAAAGGCCCUGCUUUUGUGGGGUGCUCGAGUGGCGAACGGGUGAGUACCCCGUGAGUAACCUGCCCUUGACUUUGGGAUAACUUCAGGAAACUGGGGCUAAUACCGGAUAGGAGCUCCUGCUGCAUGGUGGGGGUGGGAAAGUUUCGGCGGUUGGGGAUGGACUCGCGGCUUAUCAGCUUGUUGGUGGGGUAGUGGCUUACCAAGGCUUUGACGGGUGGCCGGCCUGAGAGGGUGACCGGCCACAUUGGGACUGAGAUACGGCCCAGACUCCUACGGGAGGCAGCAGUGGGGAAUAUUGCACAAUGGGCGGAAGCCUGAUGCAGCAACGCCGCGUGCGGGAUGACGGCCUUCGGGUUGUAAACCGCUUUCGCCUGUGACGAAGCGUGAGUGACGGUAAUGGGUAAAGAAGCACCGGCUAACUACGUG
rnacentral:rRNA from 1 species